rnacentral:rRNA from 1 species
UACGUAGGGUCCGAGCGUUGUCCGGAAUUAUUGGGCGUAAAGGGCUCGUAGGCGGUCUGUCGCGUCGGCUGUGAAAACUCGGGGCUCAACCCCGAGCCUGCAGUCGAUACGGGCAGACUAGAGUGCGGUAGGGGAGACUGGAAUUCCUGGUGUAGCGGUGAAAUGCGCAGAUAUCAGGAGGAACACCGGUGGCGAAGGCGGGUCUCUGGGCCGUAACUGACGCUGAGGAGCGAAAGCGUGGGGAGCAAACAGG